rnacentral:miRNA from 1 species
GCAAACACAUUCCAGCCAAUCAGCAGCAGACCCUCCCUCCCAGACCCUCCCACCUCCUGGACAGCUCACUAAGAAUGCAGCUUCACGAUGAAAGUUAAAUGGAUGCUGUCCAGGAGGUUGGAGGGUCUUGGAGGGAGGGUCUGCUGCUGAUUGGCUGGAAUGUGUCG